rnacentral:rRNA from 1 species
CCUACGGGAGGCAGCAGUGAGGAAUAUUGGUCAAUGGGCGCGAGCCUGAACCAGCCAAGUAGCGUGCAGGAUGACUGCCCUACGGGUUGUAAACUUCUUUUAUACAGGAAUAACGUGAAGUACGUGUGCCUUUUUGUAUGUACUUUAUGAAUAAGGAUCGGCUCACUCCGUGCCAGCAGCCGCGGUAAUACGGAGGAUCCGAGCGUUAUCCGGAUUUAUUGGGUUUAAAGGGAGCGUAGAUGGGUUGUUAAGUAAGUUGUGAAAUGUUGCGGCUCAACCGUAAAAUUGCAAUGGGUACUGGCAGGCUUGAGUACAGUUGAGGUAAGCGGAAUUCGUGGUGUAGCGGGGAAAUGCUUAGAUAUCACGAAGAACUCCGAGUGCGAAGGCAGCUUACUAAACUGCCACUGACAUUGAUGCUCGAAAGUGUGGGUAUCAAACAGGAUUAGAUACCCCAGUAGUC